rnacentral:rRNA from 1 species
UACGUAGGGCGCAAGCGUUAUCCGGAAUUAUUGGGCGUAAAGAGCUCGUAGGCGGUUUGUCGCGUCUGCCGUGAAAGUCCGGGGCUCAACUCCGGAUCUGCGGUGGGUACGGGCAGACUAGAGUGAUGUAGGGGAGACUGGAAUUCCUGGUGUAGCGGUGAAAUGCGCAGAUAUCAGGAGGAACACCGAUGCGAAGGCAGGUCUCUGGGCAUUAACUGACGCUGAGGAGCGAAAAGCAUGGGGAGCGAACAGG